rnacentral:rRNA from 1 species
GACGAACGCUGGCGGCGUGCUUAACACAUGCAAGUCGAACGGAAAGGCCCUGCUUUUGUGGGGUGCUCGAGUGGCGAACGGGUGAGUAACACGUGAGUAACCUGCCCUUGACUUUGGGAUAACUUCAGGAAACUGGGGCUAAUACCGGAUAGGAGCUCCUGCUGCAUGGUGGGGGUUGGAAAGUUUCGGCGGUUGGGGAUGGACUCGCGGCUUAUCAGCUUGUUGGUGGGGUAGUGGCUUACCAAGGCUUUGACGGGUAGCCGGCCUGAGAGGGUGACCGGCCACAUUGGGACUGAGAUACGGCCCAGACUCCUACGGGAGGCAGCAGUGGGGAAAAUUGCACAAUGGGCGGAAGCCUGAUGCAGCAACGCCGCGUGCGGGAUGACGGCCUUCGGGUUGUAAACCGCUUUCGCCUGUGACGAAGCGUGAGUGACGGUAAUGGGUAAGGAAGCACCGGCUAACUACGUG